rnacentral:tRNA from 1 species
AGGCGAGUAGCUCAAUUUGGCAGAGCGCACGCCUCCAAAGCGUGAAGUUGGGGGUUCAAGUCCCUCCUCGCCUG